UACAGAGGUGUCAAACGUUGUCCGGAAUUAUUGGGCGUAAAGGGCGCGUAGGCGGUUGGAUAAGUCAGCUGUGAAAUCACUGGGCUCAACCCAGUAAUUGCAUUUGAUACUGUCUAGCUUGAGUUGGGUAGAGGAGGGCGGAAUUCCCGGUGUAGCGGUGAAAUGCGUAGAUAUCAGGAGGAACACCUGCGGUGUAGACGGCUUUCUGGACCAUUACUGACACUGAGACACGAAAGCGUGGGUAGCAAACAGG
rnacentral:rRNA from 1 species